UGGAAGGUCAAAGAUCACAGUUCCCACUGG
rnacentral:piRNA from 1 species